CCCCUGAUGGUCUAGUUGGUUAUGGCGUCUGACUGUAAUGGUUUCUAUUGUGAUCAGAAAAUCCCUGGUUCGAUUCCGGGUCGGGGGA